rfam:Elusimicrobia bacterium RIFOXYA12_FTLL_49_49 rifixya3_full_scaffold_451, whole genome shotgun sequence.
CGGGGCGUAGCGUAGCUGGCUAGCGCACUCCCUUGGGGUGGGAGAGGUCGCCAGUUCAAAUCUGGCCGCCCCGA